rnacentral:miRNA from 1 species
GAUCAUGCUGUGGCAGCCUCACU